rnacentral:rRNA from 1 species
GACGAACGCUGGCGGCGUGCUUAACACAUGCAAGUCGAACGGUAAGGCCCUUCGGGGUACACGAGUGGCGAACGGGUGAGUAACACGUGGGUGAUCUGCCCUGCACUUCGGGAUAAGCCUGGGAAACUGGGUCUAAUACCGGAUAGGACCCUGGGAUGCAUGUCCUGGGGUGGAAAGCUUUUGCGGUGUGGGAUGGGCCCGCGGCCUAUCAGCUUGUUGGUGGGGUGAUGGCCUACCAAGGCGACGACGGGUAGCCGGCCUGAGAGGGUGACGGGCCACACUGGGACUGAGAUACGGCCCAGACGCCGACGGGAGGCAGCAGUGGGGAAUAGUGCACAAUGGGCGCAAGCCUGAUGCAGCGACGCCGCGUGAGGGAUGACGGCCUUCGGGUUGUAAACCUCUUUCAGCACCGACGAAGCGCAAGUGACGGUAGGUGCAGAAGAAGGACCGGCCAACUACGUGCCAGCCGCCGCCGUAA